rnacentral:tRNA from 1 species
GGUGGCUCACUGGUAGAGCGCUUGCCUUGCAUGCAAGAGGCCCUGGGUUCGAUUCCUCAGCACCA